AUUGAACGCUGGCGGCAGGCCUAACACAUGCAAGUCGAGCGGAAGCAGGGAGCUUGCCCCUGGAUUCAGCGUCGGACGGGUGAGUAAUGUCUAGGAGUCUGCCUGGUGGUGGGGGAUAACGUCCGGCAACGGGCGCUAAUACCGCACACGCCCUGAGCGAGAGAGAGGGGGAUCUUCUCACCUCACGCUAUCAGAUGAUCCUAGGUCGGAUUAGCUAGUUGGUGGGGUAAAGGCCUACCAAGGCGACGAUCCGUAACUGGUCUGAGAGGAUGAUCAGUCACACUGGAACUGAGACACGGUCCAGACUCCUACGGGAGGCAGCAGUGGGGAAUUUUGGACAAUGGGCGAAAGCCUGAUCCAGCCAUGCCGCGUGUGUGAAGAAGGUCUUCGGAUUGUAAAGCACUUUAAGUUGGGAGGAAGGGCAGUAAGUUAAUACCUUGCUGGUUUGACGUUACCAACAGAAUAAGCACCGGCUAACUUCGUG
rnacentral:rRNA from 1 species